rnacentral:rRNA from 1 species
UAAUUUGAUAAUCCGCAAAAAACCUUACCACAACUUGAAUAUUUAUAUAUAUAUUUACAAGCGUUGCACGGCUGUCUUCAGUUAAUGUCGUGAGACUUUGGUUAGAUCCAUUAAAUUAACGUAAGCCCUUACUUUAUUUACAAAUAAAGUAGUUCCCCACUAUAUUGGAUAUGAUAACAGGGACUAAGACAAGUCAUCAUGGCCUAAAUAUUGU